CAAGUUCUGAUCCAGAGUACCACGAGACACGUGAAACCUUGUGGGAAGCAGGGAGGACCACCUCCCAAGGCUAAAUACUACCUGAUGACCGAUAGUGAAGCAGUACCGUGAGGGAAAGGUGAAAAGAACCCCGGGAGGGGAGUGAAAUAGAACCUGAAACCAUGUGCCUACAACCGAUCAAAGCACCUUAUGUGUGUGAUGAUGUGCUUUUUGUAGAACGAGCCAACGAGUUACGGUAUGUAGCAAGGUUAAGUACUUAAGGUACGGAGCCGAAGGGAAACCGAGUCUUAAUAGGGCGACUAGUUGCAUGCUGUAGACCCGAAACCGGGUGACCUAUCCAUGGCCAGGUUGAAGCGAGGGUAAAACCUCGUGGAGGACCGAACCACGUUGCUGUUGAAAAAGCAUGGGAUGAGCUGUGGAUAGCGGAGAAAUUCCAAUCGAACUCGGAUAUAGCUGGUUCUCCUCGAAAUAGCUUUAGGGCUAGCGUCGGAAAAUGUGAGUACUGGGGGUAGAGCACUGAAUGGGCUAGGGGGCAUAGCGCUUACCGAACCUUAUCAAACUCCGAAUACCAGAUACUAUCAGUCCGGCAGUCAGACUGCGAAAGAUAAGUUCCGUAGUCAAAAGGGAAACAGCCCAGAUCGUCAGCUAAGGUCCCAAAGUGUAAGUUAAGUGGAAAAGGAUGUGGGAUUUCUAAGACAACUAGGAUGUUGGCUUAGAAGCAGCCACUCAUUAAAAGAGUGCGUAAUAGCUCACUAGUCAAGAGAUCCUGCGCCGAAAAUGUCCGGGGCUCAAACUUACCACCGAAGCUACGGGUUCACACAAUAGUGUGAGCGGUAGAGGAGCGUCGUAAUCGGGCUGAAGUCGUACCGUAAGGAGCGGUGGACUGAUUACGAGUGAGAAUGUUGGCAUUAGUAGCGAGAUGUGGGUGAGAAUCCCACAGGCCGAAUACCUAAGGUUUCCUCAGGAAGGUUCGUCCGCUGAGGGUUAGUCGGGACCUAAGCUGAGGCCGAAAGGCGUAAGCGAUGGACAAUCGGUUGAUAUUCCGAUACCACUAUUAUCGUUAUUAUCGAUGGUGUGACGGAGAAGGAUAGGAUGUGCUAGCUAUUGGAUGCUAGUCUAAGCGUUUAGGGAGUUAG
rnacentral:rRNA from 1 species